ensembl:snoRNA
GUACCAAAAGCUAAUUUUGGGGGGAAGGAUUUUUAAUAACCUUUACCAACUAAGACUAUUUGGCAGAGUAAUUAAGACCACACCCCACAGUGUCUAUACCCCUUAGUAUGGGUCAUUAUGAUCUUGUAGCCUACAAU